GUGGGGAAUCUUCCGCAAUGGACGAAAGUCUGACGGAGCAACGCCGCGUGAGUGAUGAAGGUCUUCGGAUUGUAAAGCUCUGUUAAUCGGGACGAAAGAGCCUAGUGUGAAUAAUGCUAGGAAGUGACGGUACCGGAAUAGAAAGCCACGGCUAACUACGUGCCAGCAGCCGCGGUAAUACGUAGGUGGCAAGCGUUGUCCGGAAUUAUUGGGCGUAAAGCGCGCGCAGGCGGAUCUGCCAGUCUGUCUUAAAAGUUCGGGGCUUAACCCCGUGAUGGGAUGGAAACUACAGAUCUAGAGUAUCGGAGAGGAAAGUGGAAUUCCUAGUGUAGCGGUGAAAUGCGUAGAGAUUUGGAAGAACACCAGUGGCGAAGGCGACUUUCUGGACGAUGUCUGACGCUGAGGCGCGAAAGCUAGGGGAGCGAACGGGAUUAGAAACCCCGGUAGUCC
rnacentral:rRNA from 1 species